rnacentral:rRNA from 1 species
CCUACGAGGGGCAGCAGUGAGGAAUAUUGGUCAAUGGGCGGGAGCCUGAACCAGCCAAGUCGCGUGAGGGAAGACGGUCCUAUGGAUUGUAAACCUCUUUAGGCUGGGAGCAAUGCCGGGCACGCGUGCCCGGAGGGAGAGUACCCGCAGAAUAAGCAUCGGCUAACUCCGUGCCGGCAGCCGCGGUAAUACGGAGGAUGCGAGCGUUAUCCGGAUUUAUUGGUUUAAAAGGGUGCGUAGGCGGUUUUUUAAGUCAGCGGUAAAAUGUCCGGGCUCAACCCGGGCCGGCCGUUGAAACUGGGGAUCUUGAGUGGGCGAGAAGUAUGCGGAAUGCGUGGUGUAGCGGUGAAAUGCAUAGAUAUCACGCAGAACUCCGAUUGCGAAGGCAGCAUACCGGCGCCCGACUGACGCUGAGGCACGAAAGCGUGGGGAUCGAACAGGAUUAGAUACCCUUGUAGUC